ensembl:lncRNA
CCGCCCCCGGGCCACGACAGUGCGCGGCUCCGCCGCCGGCUGGACGACGCGGAAGCAUGGGGGACUGCCCGGGUUGUCCCAGCUCCACCGUCGGCAGCAGGCUCGAGACAGGGCUUCCGCCACUGCCUCGUUCUCGGCUCUCGCUGUUCGCUUCCCCCCAGUGCCUGUGGAGGGGCCGCGCGCCGGAAGCCGCGAUGCGGAGUUUCCCGGGUGCUGGCAGCGCGGCCCGGCGGGGGCUGCCCGCCCUCUGCAACGGGAACCUCCGGCACUCCGUAGCUCUGCCGAGAUCGAAGGACUCCGCAUGCGACCCUGGACCGGGACUCUCUGCGUCGCUCUCACGCAACGGAGAGCGGGCACCGCACGGCUGCGGCACCCGCUGUGCUGGGUGCGCUGGGAACUGACACCGCUCGGGACUCCGCUCACACACCCUCGGGUUGCCCCCUUAACAUGGCCGCAGCUACUUGCCGCCCCGCAGCCGGCUCUCACACCGGCACCGCAUGGAACCGCGGCUGUUUACGAAGGGGCUGAGAGCUUCAGCUUCCUGCCCGAGACGGCGCACGCAGGGCGGAGACACAAGAGAACACAGGAGAACGGGCCAGCGGGGAGGCUCCCGUGCUAUAAAUAGGCGGUCGACGCAGCUGCCGCUCCGCCCCGCUGCCGGCGCGGGGCUCCCCUGGCGCCGGGCCAAGCGGCACCGGCGACGCAGUGCGGUCGCAGUGCGCAUGCGCAGUGUCGCGGCGAGGGUUUCCCCGCAUUGCGCGGGGUUUCUGUGAGCCCGCGGCGGGGGGGAUGCUGCCGCGGGCGAGUCACGCCGCGGUCUCCGCCGAGGUGCCUGUACCGGCGUGCUCCGGCUGGCCUGAUCGGGUUGCGUCGGGCCUGUGACGCUGCGGGAAGCCUGCCUGCGGCGGGGAGCUCGCCGAAGCGCCGGCUCGCUGACGCUCGCGUCUCAGUGCUCUGUUAGAGCUCGUUUUGCCGCAUAGAUGGAGGGGAGCGGCGGGCACCCCAGUUCCUGCAGCUCGCAGGCUCACGCUGUAGGCACGGCCCGCACACAGGCGGGAACUCGCAGCCCUCCCCGCAGCCGCAGCGCUACACGACCGGCAGCAGAGCUGGCGUUUCCCCGCGGAAAUCCCGGCGCCAAGCACCUUGGAUGCUAGGCAGCCCUCCUGUGCUACCGGAAAGCGGUUGGAUAAAUCACAGCACCAGGGCGCUGCUGCCUUUUUGAUUUAUAUUCAAGGUGCGAGCGACAACAAAGCUCAGUCUGCCCACUUUUAUAGAAGGUUUACACCUCUCUUGUGUACUGUAUUAUCUGAGCUGCUAUUCGUAGAGCCGUGUCUUGUCUGCAAGACUGCAGUGCCUCCUACACUUGUGUGUUCCCACUCCUAAAAUCAGCUAUGGGUUACAGCCAAGCAGUGCCUCCAGGAAACGCAGGAGAAGCUCCCUGUCAUCUGCAGCCUUUUUCUCAAUGGAUGUUAAUGGGGAUUUGUUUUUUGAUAUUGACGCUUUAGGGAGAUAAAUCGCAUUGUUUUCCAAAUGUCAUUGCAGCAGUCCAGACCUUUAACUUGAAUGUGAUUCACAGAUUAUCCUUUUCUAACAGAUUCAACUCCCUGCUGCAGGUUUUGAGAAGUUUUAUAUACAGUGAUUGCAGCUUGUCUCUGGUUUCCACUAACACACUGCAGUUUAGAGUCCUGUUAGAAAGGGUCAUUCUAAUGCUAUAGGCCUUACACAGAAUCAAAGAAAUGCUGAGUUUGGAAGGGUCAGCUGUAGACCAUCUAUUCUACUGACCUCCUCAAAACAGGACCCACUACAGCAAGCUGAACAGGGCCUUGUUCAGUUAAAGUUUAAAUAUUGCACUUGGGUCAGGGAAAUCCCAGGUACAUAUACUGACUGGGAGAAGAACUCACUGAGAGCAGCCCUGCCAAGAAGGACUUAGGUGCCUGCAGCCCAGAAGGCCAACAAUAUCCUGGGCUGUAUCAAAAGAGGGGUGGCAGCAGAGCAAGGGAAGGGAUUCCCUGUCAAGUCUGCCCUCGUGAGGCCCCACGCAGAGUACUGUGUCCAGGUCUGGGGCCCCCAGCCCAAGAAGGAUGUGGAGCUGGAGAUGAGAGAGCCCAAGAGGAGGGGCAGAAACUUGAUCUGAGGGCUGGAGUACCUCUCCUACAAUGGCAGACUGGAGGAGUGUGGCUUCUUCAGUCUGAAGAAGAGAAGGCUCCAGGGACACCUCAUUACAGCCUUCAAAUAUAUAGGGAGAUUUUAAAUAGGAGGGAAAUAAACAUUUUACAUGGGUACAUAGUGAUAGAACAAAGGGGAAUGGCUUUAAACUAAAGGAGGGGAGACUUAGAUUAGAUGAUGGGGAAGUUUUUUACUGAGAAGGUGGUGAGGUGCUGCAACAGGCUGUCCAGAGAGGUUGCUGAUGCCCCAUCCCUGGAUGUGUUCAAGGCCAGAUUGGAUGGGGCCCUGGGCAACCAGAUCUUGUGCUUGAUCUAGCAAUUGGCAACCCUGCCCACGGCAGGAAGGGAAGGUUGGAGUCAGAUGAUCUUUGAGGUCCCUUUGAAUGCAAACUGUUCUAGGAUAUGCUCCUGAUCUAAUUGUGCUAGCAACCGUUUGCUGGACUUGCUCCAGUAUGUCCACAUUUGUCUUGCUGUGGGGAAGAGAACUGCUUCAGAACUGCGGACAGAGUGGUAUAAACAGCUUGAGAUACACAAGUUACGGUUAAAAAAAAAGAAAGGAAGAAAGGACAAAAGGACAAAAAACAAUUUUGUUAUGUGACCCCUACCAUUCUGGUGAGGCUUUCUGGGCUCACUGAAGCACUGGAGAGGCAGCUACAUUUUGGCCAGUUUUUGAUCUCAGAAGUCCUAUAUAGGAAAAAAAGUUUUUGAUUGACAAAACUCAAACUUCAACUAUAUCCUCCUGAUCAGUGAUCAUUAUGUUCCCAUCAUCUCUCUCUCUCUUUUUUUUUUUUUAACUAAAUGAAGGAAUCUUUUGCAUUGUUGUGUUUGCCUGGAUAUGUAGUAAUAACAACAGUGUUUAUAAUUUCUCUGUCUCUUACUAGUCAUUCAAAUUCACAUAACUUUGAUUUUCUUUAUCCCAAACCUCUGAUAACCUCAUUCUUUUCCCUUUUCUAUUUCUACUUGGCACUGUAUUUAAUAUUCCAAACUGUACAAGUUUUCAUAGGUACCCCCUUAAAAAAAAAAAGUUGUAUUAUUCUCUUUAUCAUUGUAUAUUAUACUAUAUGCCCAAGGAGUUAGAAACAGGAACAAUCCCAGCUUUUUAAAUAAAUACUGUAGAAUUGUUUCCUCUCCCUCCUACCUCCUGGAAGCAAGCCCUAGGAUUUAAAAAGCUGUUACAUUGUCAUGCUGUAACAUUUAAAAUAUCUGUAGAAUAUGUAUUUAUCAUUAAUUUUGUUUUACUUGCAGUUAAAAUCAUUACAAGAAAAGGCUUUUGAAUGGAGGCUCAAAGAGGAGACAAUUUGAAAUUUAACAGUACUUAAAUUUAAGUAGUCUUUUCAAGACUAUGACAGUGAGAAACAGAUUUUAUCAGUACUGUCGAAUAUAUGGCUUUGCUCUGAAAUGGAAAUCCCUGUGUUUGCAGCAAAUUCUUACUGCUUUUGGGUACGUAAUUUCCAUCAUUUUGUAAACAGGUCUGAAAUGCACUUAUACCACCACAAAGGAAGUGUAUAUCUAACCACAAGAGGAAACUCUUCCCAGUUACUAUUUCAGGAGGUGGACGUGGUCUACCGAAUGAAGUAAAGCAAUGUUUGUGUAAGAAUCAGUUUAUGUAGGUGUUUUUUAUUUAUCUGUUCAUUCUUCCUUGCUCCUCAGACAUUAUAUAUGAGCAGAAAGGUGGGAUCACAGAUUUUCCUUAGAAAUCUAGGAAAUCUGAGGGGUUUUCCCUCAAGUUUUGAUGCUUAAACAAAUCCUUAAAAAUAGUUCUUUUAGGAUGUAUGACUUAGUAGACUUCAAAAGCCUAUAAAGCUUGUGUCAUUGCAAAAAUAAAAAAGUAAAAAAAAA